rnacentral:rRNA from 1 species
AACCUUUAGCCAAACAAAUAUUAAAGGCAACGCCUGCCCAGUGAACAAUUAAACGGCCGCGGUAUCCUAACCGUGCAAAGGUAGCAUAAUCAUUUGUCUACUAACUAUAGACCUGUAUGAAAGGCAAAAUGAGGGUCCAACUGUCUCUUAUAAUAAAUCAAUUAAACUGAUCCCCUAGUAAAAAAGCUAGGAUCUAAACAUAAGACCAGAAGACCCUGUGAAGCUUAAAUAAAACUAUUAACCCACAUAAUAAAUACUUUCGGUUGGGGCGACCUUGGAAAAAAAAAGAACUUCCAAACAACAUAAUACAUCCACCCAAACACAGGCCAACAAGCCAAUAAAUGACCCAGUCAAAAGACUGAUAAAUGAACCAAGUUACUCCAGGGAUAACAGCGCAAUCUUCUUCAAGAGCCCAUAUCAAAAAGAAGGUUUACGACCUCGAUGUUGGAUCAGGACAUCCUAAUGGUGCAGCCGCUAUUAAGGGUUCGUUUGUUCAACGAUUAACAGUCCU